rnacentral:rRNA from 1 species
UACGUAGGGUGCGAGCGUUGUCCGGAAUUAUUGGGCGUAAAGAGCUCGUAGGCGGUUUGUUGCGUCGGCCGUGAAAACCUGCAGCUUAACUGUAGGCCUGCGGCCGAUACGGGCAGACUUGAGUUCGGUAGGGGAGACUGGAAUUCCUGGUGUAGCGGUGAAAUGCGCAGAUAUCAGGAGGAACACCGGUGGCGAAGGCGGGUCUCUGGGCCGAUACUGACGCUGAGGAGCGAAAGCGUGGGGAGCGAACAGG